UAAAGGCUCUAAGCUCCGCUCAUUCGACUGAUUUUUCGCACCGGAUCUCAAAUUCUCUAUUGCACUCCCUCAAUAAGGUUAUUUUCACAUUUCCCUCACGGUACUUGUAUGUGCUAUCGGUCAUUAAGGAAUACGUAGGCUUAGAGGGUGGUCCCCAUUUCUCGCAUAAAAGCGAUUAGAAUUCAAACACGUCGUGUUUUACUGGGAAGGUUC
rnacentral:lncRNA from 1 species